rnacentral:rRNA from 1 species
GAUGAACGCUGGCGGCGUGCCUAAUACAUGCAAGUCGAGCGAAUGGAUUAAGAGCUUGCUCUUAUGAAGUUAGCGGCGGACGGGUGAGUAACACGUGGGUAACCUGCCCAUAAGACUGGGAUAACUCCGGGAAACCGGGGAUAAUACCGGAUAACAUUUUGAACCGCAUGGGUCGAAAUUGAAAGGCGGCUUCGGCCGUCACGUAUGGAUGGACCCGCGUCGCAUUAGCUCGUUGGUGAGGUAACGGCUCACCAAGGCAACGAUGCGUAGCCGACCUGAGAGGGUGAUCGCCCACACUGGGACUGAGACACGGCCCAGACUCCUACGGGAGGCAGCAGUAGGGAAUCUUCCGCAAUGGACGAAAGUCUGACGGAGCAACGCCGCGUGAGUGAUGAAGGCUUUCGGGUCGUAAAACUCUGUUGUUAGGGAAGAACAAGUGCUAGUUGAAUAAGCUGGCACCUUGACGGUACCUAACCAGAAAGCCACGGCUAACUACGUGCCAGCAGCCGCCGUAA